GGUAAUUGGUCGGACUCCGACUCUCAAUAGUCCUUAAGCACUUUCCUGAUCUGCUCAAGCGUCACAAACAGCACCACAGUGAACGGUCCCUGCCUCGAAAUCGUAGGGAUGAAGCCCUUGUAAAGGGCCAUCGGCCCCUCCGCCCUCACAGUCUUUAAGGCACAGUCGAGGGCCCCAGUGUAGGGCGGGUCCCGCCCAGCCUCCACCUUCAUGUUCAUAACCCUCGUCUUAAUCACGUCGAUCGGGUUCGAGGCCACGGACGCCACAAACCCCGCCGCGAAACUCGCCGUCACGUGCGUUCCAAGGCCGUCCUUCAUCAAGUGCCUAUCGAGAAUCGCCUCCUUGAUCUGGUCGUACGACGCCAGCUGCGACGCCGUCACGAUCAUAGCGCGGUUCACUGUAAGGCUGGACCCGCGCCACAGGCUAAGAACCCCUUCGCUCCUCGCCAUCUUGGAAAUCGCGUCGAUCACGUUCUUGUAGUCGCGGCCGCCGGCUUGCAUCCGGACCAUGGCCACGUCGGCGGGGUUGCCGACGGCAGCUCCGACUCCACCGGCGACGAGCCCGGCGAAAAUUUUGCGGGCCAGUGGCAGGUUCCCGGAGUUCGGGUCGGCCCAUUUGACCUUCAAAAUUUCGUAGAGGCCCAUUCGGGUGGUGGAGUACAGAGUCUGGCGGAGAACUGUUGCUGAGACUCCCGAGAACAACGCCUUAACGCCUUCGGUCUGAAAAAUUUUGACUCCGACCGAGAUUGGACCGGCACGUACGGUGGCCGGUGGGGGCGGCGGGGCAACAAGGGUGGCGGAAUGGGAAUUAUAAGCAAAAGCGGGGCGGAGAUUGUGGAUGUGCUGGGGGGCGGCGGCGCGAGCGGGGUUGCUCUCGCCCUGGAGCUGCAUGCGGACCUUGAUAAGAUCCAGCGGGUGGGUGGAGCAGCCGGCGACAAUGGAAGCGACGCCUCCCUCGACAAAUCCUUUGAUACCCAUUUUCCAAUCGAAUCAAAGGUCGAAUCUUUUGGGGUUUUUUUUCCCUUUUUCUGGGAUCGUCUGUUAAAAAAUGAAUGAAAGAAUAAAAAAAAUAGGAUCAAAAUUGAAUGGAUGGGUUUAGGAGGACCAAUUAGGGUUCAUAUCACUGGAGAUUAAGAG
rnacentral:lncRNA from 1 species